CCUGCCUGAGGAGGCCUCGGUUGGAUGCGAAGGAGCUGCAGCAUCCAGUUCUAGAGGCUGGGAAAUCCAGGAUCAAGUUGCCAGCAGAUCCAGUGCAUCAUGAGGACACACCUCCUGGUUUGCAGAUGGUCGUCUUGCUGUGUCCUCACAUGGCAGAAAGAGGAAGCAAGCUCUCCUUGUUUGUUUUAUAAGGGCACUAAUCCCAUCACGAGAGGUCCAUCCUCAGAACCUAAUGACCCCCUAAAGAGCCCACCUAAUGCUGUCCCACUGGGGGUUAGGGUUUUGACAUUGGAAUUUUGAGGAGGACACAAACAUGCAGUCCAUAACACAUUCCCUCUCAUGAUAUGCAAGACCUCUUUUUUUUUUUUUUUGAGGUAGGGUCUCCUCUCCGUUGCCCAGGCGGGAGGGCAGUGGCAUGAUCAUAGCUCACUGCAGCCUCAACCUCCUGGGCUCAAGUGAUCCUGCCG
rnacentral:lncRNA from 10 species